AAACAGGUGCUAAUACCGGAUAAGAAAGCAGAUCGCAUGAUCAGCUUUUAAAAGGCGGCGUAAAGCUGUCGCUAUGGGGAUGGCCCCCGCGGUGCAUUAGCUAGUUGGUAAGGUAAAGGCUUACCAAGGCGAUGAUGCAUAGCCGAGUUGAGAGACUGAUCGGCCACAUUGGGACUGAGACACGGCCCAAAACUCCUACGGGAGGCAGCAGUAGGGAAUCUUCCACAAUGGACGCAAGUCUGAUGGAGCAACGCCGCGUGAGUGAAGAAGGUUUUCGGAUCGUAAAGCUCUGUUGUUGGUGAAGAAGGAUAGAGGUAGUAACUGGCCUUUAUUUGACGGUAAUCAACCAGAAAGUCACGGCUAACUACGUGCCAGCAGCCGCGGGUAAAUGAGU
rnacentral:rRNA from 1 species